rnacentral:snRNA from 1 species
AUACUUAUCUGUCAGAGGAGAUACCAGGAUCAAGAAGGUGGUUCACACACAGCGAGGCUUAGCCAAUGCACUCCGGCUGAGCUGCGAAUUCCCCAAAUGUGUGAAUCUCGACAGUUUAUCUC